AGAGUUUGAUCAUGGCUCAGAUUGAACGCUGGCGGCAUGCUUUACACAUGCAAGUCGAACGGUAACAGGCCGCAAGGUGCUGACGAGUGGCGAACGGGUGAGUAAUGCAUCGGAACGUGCCCAAUCGUGGGGGAUAACGCAGCGAAAGCUGUGCUAAUACCGCAUACGAUCUAMGGAUGAAAGCGGGGGACCWGYAAKGGCCUCGCGCGAUUGGAGCGGCCGAUGUCAGAUUAGGUAGUUGGUGGGGUAAAGGCUCACCAAGCCAACGAUCUGUAGCUGGUCUGAGAGGACGACCAGCCACACUGGAACUGAGACACGGUCCAGACUCCUACGGGAGGCAGCAGUGGGGAAUUUUGGACAAUGGGCGCAAGCCUGAUCCAGCAAUGCCGCGUGCAGGAAGAAGGCCUUCGGGUUGUAAACUGCUUUUGUACGGAACGAAACGGUCUGGGUUAAUACCCUGGGCUAAUGACGGUACCGUAAGAAUAAGCACCGGCUAACUACGUGCCAGCAGCCGCGGUAAUACGUAGGGUGCRAGCGUUAAUCGGAAUUACUGGGCGUAAAGCGUGCGCAGGCGGUUUUAUAAGACAGUCGUGAAAUCCCCGGGCUCAACCUGGGAAUGGCGAUUGUGACUGUAAGGCUGGAGUGCGGCAGAGGGGGAUGGAAUUCCGCGUGUAGCAGUGAAAUGCGUAGAUAUGCGGAGGAACACCGAUGGCGAAGGCAAUCCCCUGGGCCUGCACUGACGCUCAUGCACGAAAGCGUGGGGAGCAAACAGGAUUAGAUACCCUGGUAGUCCACGCCCUAAACGAUGUCAACUGGUUGUUGGGUCUCUUCUGACUCAGUAACGAAGCUAACGCGUGAAGUUGACCGCCUGGGGAGUACGGCCGCAAGGUUGAAACUCAAAUGAAUUGACGG
rnacentral:rRNA from 1 species